rnacentral:lncRNA from 1 species
UAAUGUUCAUCAGGUCAAGAUCUAUCUGCCUGAAAUUUUCAGAUGAAUCGGACAUUUCGUUGUUGGGUUGCUGCCCCUGAAAUGGUAAUUUUAAGGAAAUUUUGCUGUUUUUUGGUUAUUAUCUUGAAUAUUAUUAUAGAUAGAGAUAAACUGUAAACAGCAAUAAUGUUCAGCAAAGUAAGAUCUACAAAUAAGUCAACAUGACCAAAAUGGUCAGUUGAUCACUUUAGGAGUUAUUGCUCUUUAUAGUCAAUUUUUAACCAUUUUUCGUAAAUCUUAGUAAUCUUUUAGAAAAAUCUUCUCCUCUGAAACUACUGGGCCAAAUUUAACCAAACUUGGCCAUAAUCAUCAUUGGGGUAUCUAGUUUUAAAAUGUGUCCGGUGACCCGGCCAACCAACCAAGAUGGCCGCCAUGGCUAAAAAUAGAACAUAGGGGUAAAAUGCAGAUUUUGGCUUAUAACUCAAAACCAAAGCAUUUAGAGCAAAUCUGACAGAUAGUAAAAUUGUUGAUCAGGUCACGAUCUAUCUUCCC